rnacentral:rRNA from 1 species
UACGUAGGGGGCAAGCGUUGUCCGGAUUCAUUGGGCGUAAAGAGCGUGUAGGCGGCCAGGUAGGUCGGUUGUGAAAACUGGAGGCUCAACCUUCAGAGGUCGACCGAAACCAUCUGGCUAGAGUCCGGGAGAGGAGAGUGGAAUUCCUGGUGUAGCGGUGAAAUGCGCAGAUAUCAGGAAGAACACCCGUGGCGAAAGCGGCUAUCUGGAACGGUACUGACGCUGAGACGCGAAAGCGUGGGGAGCGAACAGG